rnacentral:rRNA from 1 species
CCUACGGGUGGCAGCAGUGAGGCAUAUUGGUCAAUGGGCGGGAGCCUGAACCAGCCAAGCCGCGUGAGGGAAGACGGUACAGCGUAUUGUAAACCUCUUUUGUCAGGGAACAAAGGCGGGGACUAGUCCCCGGAUGAGGGUACCUGAAGAAAAAGCAUCGGCAAACUCCGUGCCAGCAGCCGCGGUAAUACGGAGGAUGCGGGCGUUAUCCGGAUUUCUGGGGUUUAAAGGGUGCGCAGGCGGCCUGUUAAGUCAGCGGGAAAAGCCCGGGGCUCAACCCCGGCGAGCCGUUGAAACUGGCGGGCUGGAGUUGGAGAGAAGUACGCGGAAUGCGCGGUGUAGCGGUGAAAUGCUUAGAGAUCGCGCAGAACCCCGAUUGCGAAGGCAGCGUACCGGCUCCACACUGACGCUGAGGCACGAAAGCGUGGGUAUCGAACAGGAUUAGAUACCCCUGUAGUC